rfam:Camelus ferus unplaced genomic scaffold scaffold590, whole genome shotgun sequence.
GAAGGGUAGAGCUCAGUGGUAGAGCGCAUGCCUAUAGCAUGCACAAGGUCCUGGGUUCAAUCCCUAGUUCCUCCA